rnacentral:rRNA from 1 species
AUCAACUUUCGAUGGUAGGAUAGAGGCCUACCAUGGUGGUAACGGGUAACGGGGUGUUAGGGCACGACACCGGAGAGGGAGCCUGAGAAACGGCUACCACAUCCAAGGAUGGCAGCAGGCGCGCAAAUUACCCAAUCCCGACACGGGGAGGUAGUGACAAUAAAUAACAAUACGGGGCUCUUUAGGGUCUCGUAAUUGGAAUGAGUACAAUUUAAAUCUCUUAACGAGGAACAAUUGGAGGGCAAGUCUGGUGCCAGCAGCCGCGGUAAUUCCAGCUCCAAUAGCGUAUAUUAAAGUUGUUGCAGUUAAAAAGCUCGUAGUUGAAUUUCGGGAUCAGCAGGUUGGUCGUGCCUUUGGUAUGCACUGGUUUCGCUGAUUCCUCCUUUCUGAAGAACUGUAAUGUCAUUAAUUUGGUGUUGCAGGGAAACAGGACUGUUACUUUGAAAAAAUUAGAGUGUUUAAAGCAGGCUAACGCUUGAAUACAUUAGCAUGGAAUAAUGAAAUAGGACGUUUGAUCCUAUUUUGUUGGUUUCUAGGAUUGACGUAAUGAUUAAUAGGGAUAGUUGGGGGCAUUAGUAUUCAAUUGUCAGAGGUGAAAUUCUUGGAUUUAUUGAAGACUAACUACUGCGAAAGCAUUUGCCAAGGAUGUUUUCAUUAAUCAAGAACGAAAGUUAGGGGAUCGAAGACGAUCAGAUACCGUCGUAGUCUUAACCAUAAACUAUGCCGACUAGGGAUCGGAUGAUGUUAAUUUUUUAAUGACUCAUUCGGCGCCUUACGGGAAACCAAAGUGUUUGGGUUC